GUGAAUGCCUGGGCUGUCAUACGGACUGCGGUCUCUGACGCCCACCCACUAUAUCCGCAAACCCUGUGCACUGUGGUGUUGUCUUGGACACACCUCGCCAACCAACUCGUCUUUGUAUCUGUACGUGUCUACUUGGCCUAAGCCAAAAAUCAACA
rnacentral:misc_RNA from 2 species